AGAGUUUGAUCCUGGCUCAGGAUGAACGCUAGCUACAGGCUUAACACAUGCAAGUCGAGGGGCAGCAUGUUGGUUGCUUGCAACCAAUGAUGGCGACCGGCGCACGGGUGAGUAACGCGUAUCCAACCUACCCUUGUCCAUCGGAUAACCCGUCGAAAGGCGGCCUAACACGAUAUGCGGUUCACAGCAGGCAUACUAAGGUGAACGAAAUGUGAAGGAGAAGGAUGGGGAUGCGUCUGAUUAGCUUGGUUGGCGGGUAACGGCCCACCAAGGCGACGAUCAGUAGGGGUUCUGAGAGGAAGGUCCCCCANAUUGGAACUGAGACACGGUCCAAACUCAUACGGGAGCA
rnacentral:rRNA from 1 species